AGAUCGGCAGCUGGAGACUGAGAGACUAUUUCUGCAACAGCCUCUAGCAAUAUUAACCGAAUCGGCGCAGCGAGAACAUGUUUCUACGGAUGAGGAGGGAGACAGAGGGGUAUGUGUCGAGGCCGAGAGCCAGGAACAAUCGAUUCAGUCUUGUAGCGUCAGUGAGCACGACAAAUUGUGCUAAGGCGAGGGCGAAAUACCGGAGUGGGUACAUGAGAUGGUGGCUGCUGCAGGGGACGCCUUGUCGAG